GAUGAACGCUAGCGGCAGGCUUAACACAUGCAAGUCGAGGGGUAUAGGUUUUCGGACCUAGAGACCGGCGCACGGGUGCGUAACGCGUAUGCAAUCUACCUUUUACAGAGGGAUAGCCCAGAGAAAUUUGGAUUAAUACCUCAUAGUAUUAUGACUCGGCAUCGAGAUAUAAUUAAAGUCACAACGGUAAAAGAUGAGCAUGCGUCCCAUUAGCUUGUUGGUAAGGUAACGGCUUACCAAGGCAACGAUGGGUAGGGGUCCUGAGAGGGAGACCCCCCACACUGGUACUGAGACACGGACCAGACUCCUACGGGAGGCAGCAGUGAGGAAUAUUGGUCAAUGGGCGCAAGCCUGAACCAGCCAUGCCGCGUGCAGGAUGAAGCAUCUAUGGUGUGUAAACUGCUUUUGUACGAGAAGAAACACUCCUACGUGUAGGAGCUUGACGGUAUCGUAAGAAUAAGGACCGGCUAACUCCGUGCCAGCAGCCGCGGUAAUACGGAGGGUCCAAGCGUUAUCCGGAAUCAUUGGGUUUAAAGGGUCCGUAGGCGGUUUUGUAAGUCAGUGGUGAAAGCCCAUCGCUCAACGGUGGAACGGCCAUUGAUACUGCAAGACUUGAAUUAUUAGGAAGUAACUAGAAUAUGUAGUGUAGCGGUGAAAUGCUUAGAGAUUACAUGGAAUACCAAUUGCGAAGGCAGGUUACUACUAAUGGGUUGACGCUGAUGGACGAAAGCGUGGGGAGCGAACAGGAUUAGAUACCUGGUAGUCCACGCCGUAACGAUGGGUACUAGCUGUUCGGAGCAAUCUGAGUGGCUAAGCGAAGUGAUAGUAUCCCNCUGGGAGUACGUCGCNGAUGA
rnacentral:rRNA from 1 species